GAGUGAUCGAAAGAUGAAAAGCACUUUGAAAAGAGAGUUAAACAGCACGUGAAAUUGUUGAAAGGGAAGCGUUUGCGACCAGACUCGCCCGCGGGGUUCAGCCGGCACUCGUGCCGGUGUACWUCCCCGUGGGCGGGCCAGCGUCGGUUUGGGCGGCCGGUCAAAGGCCCUCGGAAUGUAUCACUCUCGGGGUGUCUUAUAGCCGAGGGUGCAAUGCGGCCUGCCCGGACCGAGGAACGCGYUC
rnacentral:rRNA from 1 species